rnacentral:lncRNA from 1 species
AGGCCUACUCUGUCUGGGGUGGAAAGGUAGGCCUACUCUGUCUGGGGUGGAAAGGUAGGUCUACUCUGUCUGGGGUGGAAAGGUAGACCUACUCUGUCUGGGGUGGAAAGGUAGACCUACUCUGUCUGGGGUGGAAAGGUAGGUCUACUCUGUCUGGGGUGGAAAGGUAGGUCUACUCUGUCUGGGGUGGAAAGGUAGGCCUUCUCUGUCUGGGGUGGAAAGGUAGACCUACUCUGUCUGGGGUGGAAAGGUAGGUCUACUCUGUCUGGGGUGGAAAGGUAGGUCUACUCUGUCUGGGGUGGAAAGGUAGGCUUACUCUGU